GAAAUGCGAUAAGUAGUGUGAAUUGCAGAAUUCAGUGAAUCAUCGAAUCUUUGAACGCACAUUGCGCCCUUUGGUAUUCCUUAGGGCAUGCCUGUUCGAGCGUCAUCUAAACCUUCAAGCCCUGCUUGGUGUUGGGUGCCUGUCCCGCCUCCGCGCGCGGACUCACCCCAAAUCCAUUGGCGGCCCCCGCGUCGGCCACGAGCGCAGCAGAAACGCGAACUCGUGAGCCCGUCCGGGCGGCUCCCAGAAGCUACACCCACCCAGUUUGACCUCGGAUCAGGUAGGGAUACCCGCUGAACUUAAGC
rnacentral:misc_RNA from 1 species